rnacentral:rRNA from 1 species
AGAGCGAACGCUGGCGGCAGGCCUAACACAUGCAAGUCGAGCGCCGUAGCAAUACGGAGCGGCAGACGGGAGAGUAACACGUGGGAACGUGCCCUUUGGUUCGGAACAACACAGGGAAACUUGUGCUAAUACCGGAUAAGCCCUUACGGGGAAAGAUUUAUCGCCAAAGGAUCGGCCCGCGUCUGAUUAGCUAGUUGGUGAGGUAACGGCUCACCAAGGCGACGAUCAGUAGCUGGUCUGAGAGGAUGAUCAGCCUCACUGGGACUGAGACACGGCCCAGACUCCUACGGGAGGCAGCAGUGGGGAAUAUUGGACAAUGGGCGCAAGCCUGAUCCAGCCAUGCCGCGUGGAUGAUGAAGGCCCUAGGGUUGUAAAGUCCUUUCGGCGGGGAAGAUAAUGACGGUACCCGCAGAAGAAGCCCCGGCUAACUUCGCGCCAGCAGCCGC